rnacentral:rRNA from 1 species
UACAGAGGGGGCAAGCGUUAUUCGGAAUUAUUGGGCGUAAAGGGCGCGUAGGCGGCUUGGCAAGUGGAUGGUGAAAUCCCUCGGCUUAACCGAGGAACUGCCGUCCAAACUGCUUCGCUUGAGACCGGGAGAGGUGAGUGGAAUUCCCAGUGUAGAGGUGAAAUUCGUAGAUAUUGGGAAGAACACCAGUGGCGAAGGCGGCUAACUGGUCCAGCACUGACGCUGAGGUGCGAAAGCGUGGGGAGCAAACAGG